rnacentral:rRNA from 1 species
CGGCGUGGUUAAGACAUGCAAGUCGUACGGUGUAGCAAUACACAGUGGCGAACGGGUGAGUAAUGAAUCGCUAAUGUACCCCGGACUCUGGGAUAGCUGCCCGAAAGGGCAGGUAAUACCAGAUGACAUAUCCCUUCCGCAUGGUUGGGAUCUCAAAGGUCCGCCGGUCUGGGAGCAGGCGAUUUUGUAUCAGCUAGUUGGUGAGGUAACGGCUCACCAAGGCGAUGACGCAUAGCCGGAGGGAGAGGUUGGCCGGCCACAUUGGGACUGAGACACUGCCCAGACUCCUACGGGGGGCUGCAGUAACGAAUCUUAGGGCAAUGCACGAAAGUGUGACGGAGCGACGCCGCGUUAGGGCGAAGCCCUUCGGGGUGUAAACCACGUCAGGGGAA